CACACACACACCAAGGGACUAAGAUGUUAUUUCACAGCACUUGCUUGCCUCAGUCUUUAUGAAGAACACAAUUCCAAACUAAUGGACAAGUUCCUCCCUGUACUCUAGGUCAUUCAAAGGAGGCAAGCUCCUUUGUCAAAUCAGGAGCUCCAUCAGCUGAUCAGGAGCUCAGAUGCCAGCGUGGGAGUUUCUUAGUGGGAUCUAGUAUUGCUAGAAAAGCCUUGCUUAUGCAGCAAAAGACAGGCACAUGGGCCUCUUCCCUUAGAAUGUAUCUGUCUCACAUGCUUGGGAACUGCUGUGCAGGAACACCUGGUGUGGCCUGAGGCAGUGUAUAUACGUGGCUCCCCAACAUUGGUCUAUGUUGCACUGUUUUUAAUUUUUUUUUUUUUUUUGAGACAGAGUUUUGCUCUUGUCCCCAGGUUGGAGUGCGAUGGCACGAUCUUGGCUCACUGCAGCCUCUGCCUCCCGGGUUCAAGCAAUUCUGCUGCCUCAGGCUCCCAAGUAGCUGGGAUUACAGGUGCCCGCCACCGUGCCUGGCUAAUUUUUGUAUUUUUAAUAGAGACGGG
rnacentral:lncRNA from 1 species